rnacentral:lncRNA from 1 species
GAAACAAUGAAUGCACAUCUCCCGUGCCUUCUUCUCCCCAAGCCACAUUUUAAUUAAAAAAAAUAUUUUACGUGAUAUUUCAGACUUCAUAUAUGUCUAGAAAUAAUUUUAAAGGCUAUCAGCUUAUUAAAAAAUAAAAGGUUUAUGGUACUGCUUCAAUUUUCAACAUUUCUAUGGGGAAAUAUAUUGUAUCCAUGCUCAUCCUAUUGGCCUCACCUGGUCACUUUAUACCAUUUCCUCUCUUAACGAGUUUGCCUUUUGGGCCCUACCAUAGCAGGUGUCAUAAAGCAUGGAAUGUCCAGGAAAAGAGAACUCACCAAACUUGAGAUUUGCCUUCCUCUUGAUAUGCAAGGGACAAGAUUUGUCAGUUGGAGAUGACCAGACAUCACUUACGGACUUUCAGAAAAUUAAGGAAUCUUGGACAUAUAGUGAUUCUACCAAUAGUAUUCCAGUCCAGGGUAUGACAGCUGCUGCCAAUACUAAGCUAAGUGAAGAGAAUAUUUUUUGAGAGGGCCUUCUAUAAUCAUCACCAGCUGGUCCUCUGGAGCAAUGUCUGUUCAGCCAGACCUUGCCGAGCGACUUUACAAGUUUCUGUCCAGUGGCGAUUGGGUGAUUUUCCUUAAUUCAGACCACAAGCAGCAGUGCAAGCUGUACACAUGAAACCAUGCCAUGAAAUUUCCUCCAUGCCAUUUUUCCUGUUUGCCUCUACUCUCUGAUUACCAGUUAAAAUUUUACAGGAAAGCCAACUGAGUACAAAAAAAUAUUUCUUACAAAGGUAAUUAACUUCCAUAGAACUAUAAAGUUUGAAGAAAUAUUAGAGAAAAUAUUGCCAACCAAAGAAGGAAAUCAGGAACGAAGAGGGAAAAUAUUAAGCUGAACUUUUAUAUAUGCUUCCUUAUUCAACUCCUUGCCACCUUUAGAAGUAAAUAUUAUGACCUGACUUGAUAGGUGUGGAAACUGAGGGUCAGGGGUGAGGGAUCUAUCAGAGAACACAAUAGUGUGUCUUACCCCAGAGACCACACCUUCUAGUAGACUACGUGACUUCCAAUAACAAGACAGCUGAUGAGUGGGAAUAAGUAAGCAUCAGUGAUGAGCCUUAGGAAAAAAGUUUUUGCUUACAGAAAGGGCUUCUUGGGAAAUUUUCAGGAUUAAGAAUAAGAUCUGAAAUUUUACUUGGAAUAAAUUUCUUAGCUAGAGAAUUGGAUUCCA